rnacentral:rRNA from 1 species
AGCGAACGCUGGCGGCAGGCCUAACACAUGCAAGUCGAACGAACUCUUCGGAGUUAGUGGCGGACGGGUGAGGAACACGUGGGAACGUGCCUUUUGGUUCGGAAUAACUCAGGGAAACUUGUGCUAAUACCGAAUGUGCCCUUCGGGGGAAAGAUUUAUCGCCAUUAGAGCGGCCCGCGUCUGAUUAGCUAGUUGGGGAGGUAACGGCUCACCAAGGCGACGAUCAGUAGCUGGUCUGAGAGGCAGACCAGCCACACUGGGACUGGGACACGGCCCAGACUCCUACGCGAGGGAGCAGUGGGGAAUCUUGCGCAAUGGGCGAAAGCCUGACGCAGCCAUGCCGCGUGAAUGAUGAAGGUCUUAGGAUUGUAAAAUUCUUUCACCGGGGACGAUAAUGACGGUACCCGGAGAAGAAGCCCCGGCUAACUUCGUG